CCCCGUUGCGGCAGCCCUCGAACAGCUCCCUGGCUGGGUCUGGAUGUGCAGACGCGGGCACUGGAGAGUGCUCGCCCGCACUCGAGCCUGCCGCCCCAGGACACCGUCGAGACGCCAUCGGCGACAGCACAAACUUAUGCCUGCUGGAAGAGAGGAGAAGUGAAAAUGUCUGGAAUAGGUGGGGACUUGGAUUAUGCUGGCAACCUUACUGAGGCUGCGAGAAGAGUAGACAGUCCAUGGAGGGAAGGCUGGAUUCCAUGGUGUCCACAACCCCACUGUUUCUUGAGGUCAUAUGCAGCUUGCCAUACUAAGCUGUGAUGGAUCCAGAUAGAAUGCUUUCUGUGGUGCAUCUGUAAAAAUUGGUAGGGGUAGACAGACACAUGCCAAAUUUCUUCAGCUUCCUGAGGAAUUAGAGGUGUUGAUGAACUUUCUUGGCUGGGGUGUCAGCAUAGUUGGACAAGGACAAGCAGCUGGUGAUCUUCACUCCUAGGAACUUGAAGCUCUCAACCCUCCGAAGUCAAUGGACAACUCUUUUGUUGAUAUUGAGGGAAAGAUUGUGGUCAUAAAACCAUGUUACCAAUUUCGCUAUCUCCUUUGCAUACUCUGACUCGUCAUUAUUUGAGUUACAGCACACUACGGUGAAGUCAUCUUCUCGUGAAGUAGAAUGAGCAUUAAUUACAAACCAUACUGCAUUCGAAGACUCAACAUAAGGCAGAAAUCAAGAAUAUUUUAAGAGCCUUGUUAUUUUUAGAUAUACAGGUGGCCGGGAUCCUAUUAGGAUUUUUGAUCUACAGCAACACUCAAGAACAGCGAUUCUGCAUGACGGCGCAUUUCUGUUCUUGGAGCUCCCCAAUUAGCCGCGAUUUGGUAUGUCCAAGUUCGGCCUGAAGUCGGGCGAAUUUUGGGCCUGCGUGGCCCUGUGGACACAAAUUCUUACCGGUGUCAUGUACUGAAGUGCAGUGGGAGCCGGAACAUCGAAGACAGCAAGGGUGGCUGUCGGAGUGCUCUGCAUUCAGUGAUCGAUUUGCCGAUUCUCGAGUUGGGGAACUCAAAAUUUAAAAAAAAGCAAUGCUUCAGACUGACUGUAACAUUGAAAUAACAACUGCUAUCUCCCCUCUCACUGUAGAAGGAGCAAUAUCUGACUCUCCCUUGUUGGUGAGAGAGAGAGAGAGAGAGAGAGCCUAUGGGAUGUCGACAUGUUGGAGUGAACAGUUAGUUUUUGAUGGACUGUAGACUAUGGUCUCUCUUUGGGGGGCUUUGCUGUUGUUUGCAUGGUGGGUGGAGGGUAUGCUAAUGUUUUAUGAUAGAAUAAUUUGGGGA